rnacentral:SRP_RNA from 1 species
GCCAGGUGUGGUGGCUCACACCUGUAAUCCCAGCUACUCGGGAGGCUGAGGUACAGGAAUCACUUGAACCCAGGAGGGCAGAGGUUGCCGUGAGCCAAGAUCAUGCCACUGCACUUCAGCCUGGGUGACAGAGAGAGACUCUGUCUCAA